UACGGGGGGAGCAAGCGUUGUUCGGAUUUACUGGGCGUAAAGGGCGCGUAGGCGGUCAGCACAAGUCAGUUGUGAAAUCUCCGGGCUUAACUCGGAAAGGUCAACUGAUACUGUGCGACUAGAGUGCAGAAGGGGCAACUGGAAUUCCUGGUGUAACGGUGAAAUGUGUUGAUAUCAGGAGGAACACCCAUGGCGAAGGCAGCAAACUGGGCAUCAACUGACGCUGAGGCGCGAAAGCGUGGGUAGCAAACAGG
rnacentral:rRNA from 1 species